rnacentral:rRNA from 1 species
UACGGGGGGUGCGAGCGUUAAUCGGAAUUACUGGGCGUAAAGGGUGCGUAGGCGGUUUAACGAGUUAAGUGUGAAAUUUCCGGGCUUAACCUGGGGUAGUCAUUUAAUACUGUUAAGCUAGAGUAUGGGAGAGGGUAGUGGAAUUUCCGGUGUAGCGGUGAAAUGCGUAGAGAUCGGAAGGAACAUCGGUGGCGAAGGCGGCUACCUGGCCUGAUACUGACGCUGAGGCACGAAAGCAUGGGGAGCAAACAGG